rnacentral:rRNA from 1 species
AUUGAACGCUGGCGGCAUGCCUUACACAUGCAAGUCGAACGGCAGCGGGGGCUUCGGUCCGCCGGCGAGUGGCGAACGGGUGAGUAAUAUAUCGGAACGUACCUUUCAGUGGGGGAUAACGUAGCGAAAGUUACGCUAAUACCGCAUAUUCUGUGAGCAGGAAAGCAGGGGAUCGCAAGACCUUGCGCUGAUUGAGCGGCCGAUAUCAGAUUAGCUAGUUGGUGAGGUAAAGGCUCACCAAGGCGACGAUCUGUAGCGGGUCUGAGAGGAUGAUCCGCCACACUGGAACUGAGACACGGCCCAGACUCCUACGGGAGGCAGCAGUGGGGAAUUUUGGACAAUGGGGGCAACCCUGAUCCAGCCAUGCCGCGUGAGUGAAGAAGGCCUUCGGGUUGUAAAGCUCUUUCAGUACGGAAAGAAACGCAUCGGUGAAUACCCGGUGUGGAUGACGGUACCGUAAGAAGAAGCACCGGCUAACUACGUGCCAGCAGCCGG